GGAGGUCAUUGGCACAAACGGUUUCAACAGUCAGAUGCACAAGUGCAUGUCUCCCAAGUGCCUCUCUGUCAGUCCCACCCAACCAUCAAAUUGUCUGCAACUUAUAACAAUGCUGGCUGGCAAACUUUCCAGUGUCAAAAUCAUCUUCAACUUCAUGCCUUUUGUCCAAACGGAUAUUGGUCCAUUUUGUCCCCCUGCAAACCAGCCUCUGGUGGCUCGUUGGUCUAGGGGCAUGAUUCUUGCUUCGGGUGUGAGAGGUCCCGGGUUCAAAUCCCGGACGAGCCCCCACCUGUUGAAAUGGGACUUAAAUCUUUGUCUGUGUACAUUUAUCAUGUGGGGCACAAAAAUGAAGGCCUCUACAGGGUCUCCAUGAAAUAUGUUUCUCUGGAAAACACAAUCAUUUUCUGGCAAAUAUCUGUCCUGAUCAGCAUGCUGUGAGCACCUUUUCAGGCAAAAAGCAGGACGAAUGCAUAAUCUCAGACCAGAUACGCAAAUUACGGACACAUUUCAUACAGUUGUAGCGUUGGAAGUGCAUAAUGAGCAGUUGAGCGCGCAAAAGUCUUUUGCGUUGAUUUAGAGGACUGAGGAGCUUUUUUCAUUCCACCCCCAGAGUUGCUCCAUCAUUUUCUCAGCCCAGAUUGUGGCUCGUUGGUCUAGGGGUAUGAUUCUCGCUUUGGGUGCGAGAGGUCCCGGGUUCAAAUCCCGGACGAGCCCACUCUGUUCACUUAAUACCCUGACAUCCACCAUGUCAAGAGGCUACAUACUUUAGACUGAGAUUUGAAAAUGCACAGUGUCAUGACCUAAUCCAAUGUUACAAGACAAACUUUGUAAAACAUCAUUCCUUGGAUUGGAAGAAAGGGUCAACCCACCUGGUGCUGAAAGAUGGACAAAACUCUCAGAAUUAAGGUAGUCAAAUGCCUGGACAAGGUACAGUGGCGUCAUGUUGCAAAGCAAAGGCACCUGCUUUCAAUAUGAGUAGAGCUGCAACCACUUCUCCCAGACGAUCGCUUCACACUUGUCGUAGCAUCAGAGUGCUAUUGUUUGUCUUGGCAUAUAGCCUAACGAUCCAAAUGAUCCCAGCCAAGGGGUCGUUAAAGAACGAUCCUCUCACAAAGGUCCAAGUGUGACGAUGCCAUGGAUGUGAUAGAGGACAUGUCUGGGUACCAAAAUGGGUCAAAUGUUGCUCUUGGCUUAAGCAACGGGCUCUUAGCCUGUAGCUGUGUGCAUCCACUUUGAUGAUUUAGUACAGAUCCAAGCCUCCUUUUUCUCAUUUGCAGCUGUGUGUGAACCCUUUCAGUUUGCAUUUCAGUAAGCCAAGACUUUGAAAGUGAAAGCUAGGGGUCUGCGUGAGGAUUUUGGAUCAAAUGGAACUCUGCUAGAGUUGUCUUUGUUGCGAGAGAGUGUGGCUCGUUGGUCUAGGGGUAUGAUUCUCGCUUAGGGUGCGAGAGGUCCCGGGUUCAAAUCCCGGACGAGCCCGUCAUAUGUGGAAGGAGUAGGAGGUCAUUGGCACAAACGGUUUCAACAGUCAGAUGCACAAGUGCAUGUCUCCCAAGUGCCUCUCUGUCAGUCCCACCCAACCAUCAAAUUGUCUGCAACUUAUAACAAUGCUGGCUGGCAAACUUUCCAGUGUCAAAAUCAUCUUCAACUUCAUGCCUUUUGUCCAAAAAGAUAUCGGUCCAUUUUGUCCCCCUGCAAACCAGCCUCUGGUGGCUCGUUGGUCUAGGGGCAUGAUUCUUGCUUCGGGUGUGAGAGGUCCCGGGUUCAAAUCCCGGAUGAGCCCCCACCUGUUGAAAUGGGACUUAAAUCUUUGUCUGUGUACAUUUAUCAUGUGGGGCACAAAAAUGAAGGCCUCUACAGGGUCUCCAUGAAAUAUGUUUCUCUGGAAAACACAAUCAUUUUCUGGCAAAUAUCUGUCCUGAUCAGCAUGCUGUGAGCCCCUUUUCAGGCAAAAAGCAGGACGAAUGCAUAAUCUCAGACCAGAUACGCAAAUUACGGACACAUUUCAUACAGUUGUAGCGUUGGAAGUGCAUAAUGAGCAGUUGAGCGCGCAAAAGUCUUUUGCGUUGAUUUAGAGGACUGAGGAGCUUUUUUCAUUCCACCCCCAGAGUUGCUCCAUCAUUUUCUCAGCCCAGAUUUGUGGCUCGUUGGUCUAGGGGUAUGAUUCUCGCUUUGGGUGCGAGAGGUCCCGGGUUCAAAUCCCUGACGAGCCCACUCUGUUCACUUAAUACCCUGACAUCCACCAUGUCAAGAGGCUACAUACUUUAGACUGAGAUUUGAAAAUGCACAGUGUCAUGACCUAAUCCAAUGUUACAAGACAAACUUUGUAAAACAUCAUUCCUUGGAUUGGAAGAAAGGGUCAACCCACCUGGUGCUGAAAGAUGGACAAAACUCUCAGAAUUAAGCUAGUCAAAUGCCUGGACAAGGUACAGUGGCGUCAUGUUGCAAAGCAAAGGCACCUGCUUUCAAUAUGAGUAGAGCUGCAACCACUUCUCCCAGACGAUCGCUUCACACUUGUCGUAGCAUCAGAGUGCUAUUGUUUGUCUUGGCAUAUAUCCUAACGCUCCAAAUGAUCCCAGCCAAGGGGUCGUUAAAGUACGAUCCUCUCACAAAGGUCCAAGUGUGACGAUGCCAUGGAUGUGAUAGAGGACAUGUCUGGGUACCAAAAUGGGUCAAAUGUUGCUCUUGGCUUAAGCAACGGGCUCUUAGCCUGUAGCUGUGUGCAUCCACUUUGAUGAUUUAGUACAGAUCCAAGCCUCCUUUUUCUCAUUUGCAGCUGUGUGUGAACCCUUUCAGUUUGCAUUUCAGUAAGCCAAGACUUUGAAAGUGAAAGCUAGGGGUCUGCGUGAGGAUUUUGGAUCAAAUGGAACUCUGCUAGAGUUGUCUUUGUUGCGAGAGAGUGUGGCUCGUUGGUCUAGGGGUAUGAUUCUCGCUUAGGGUGCGAGAGGUCCCGGGUUCAAAUCCCGGACGAGCCCGUCACAUGUGGAAGGAGUAGGAGGUCAUUGGCACAAACGGUUUCAACAGUCAGAUGCACAAGUGCAUGUCUCCCAAGUGCCUCUCUGUCAGUCCCACCCAACCAUCAAAUUGUCUGCAACUUAUAACAAUGCUGGCUGGCAAACUUUCCAGUGUCAAAAUCAUCUUCAACUUCAUGCCUUUUGUCCAAAAAGAUAUCGGUCCAUUUUGUCCCCCUGCAAACCAGCCUCUGGUGGCUCGUUGGUCUAGGGGCAUGAUUCUUGCUUCGGGUGUGAGAGGUCCCGGGUUCAAAUCCCGGAUGAGCCCCCACCUGUUGAAAUGGGACUUAAAUCUUUGUCUGUGUACAUUUAUCAUGUGGGGCACAAAAAUGAAGGCCUCUACAGGGUCUCCAUGAAAUAUGUUUCUCUGGAAAACACAAUCAUUUUCUGGCAAAUAUCUGUCCUGAUCAGCAUGCUGUGAGCACCUUUUCAGGCAAAAAGCAGGACGAAUGCAUAAUCUCAGACCAGAUACGCAAAUUACGGACACAUUUCAUACAGUUGUAGCGUUGGAAGUGCAUAAUGAGCAGUUGAGCGCGCAAAAGUCUUUUGCGUUGAUUUAGAGGACUGAGGAGCUGUUUUCAUUCCACCCCCAGAGUUGCUCCAUCAUUUUCUCAGCCCAGAUUGUGGCUCGUUGGUCUAGGGGUAUGAUUCUCGCUUUGGGUGCGAGAGGUCCCGGGUUCAAAUCCCGGACGAGCCCACUCUGUUCACUUAAUACCCUGACAUCCACCAUGUCAAGAGGCCACAUACUUUAGACUGAGAUUUGAAAAUGCACAGUGUCAUGACCUAAUCCAAUGUUACAAGACAAACUUUGUAAAACAUCAUUCCUUGGAUUGGAAGAAAGGGUCAACCCACCUGGUGCUGAAAGAUGGACAAAACUCUCAGAAUUAAGGUAGUCAAAUGCCUGGACAAGGUACAGUGGCGUCAUGUUGCAAAGCAAAGGCACCUACUUUCAAUAUGAGUAGAGCUGCAACCACUUCUCCCAGACGAUCGCUUCACACUUGUCGUAGCAUCAGAGUGCUAUUGUUUGUCUUGGCAUAUAUCCUAACGCUCCAAAUGAUCCCAGCCAAGGGGUCGUUAAAGUACGAUCCUCUCACAAAGGUCCAAGUGUGACGAUGCCAUGGAUGUGAUAGAGGACAUGUCUGGGUACCAAAAUGGGUCAAAUGUUGCUCUUGGCUUAAGCAACGGGCUCUUAGCCUGUAGCUGUGUGCAUCCACUUUGAUGAUUUAGUGCAGAUCCAAGCCUCCUUUUUCUCAUUUGCAGCUGUGUGUGAACCCUUUCAGUUUGCAUUUCAGUAAGCCAAGACUUUGAAAGUGAAAGCUAGGGGUCUGCGUGAGGAUUUUGGAUCAAAUGGAACUGUGCUAGAGUUGUCUUUGUUGCGAGAGAGUGUGGCUCGUUGGUCUAGGGGUAUGAUUCUCGCUUCGGGUGCGAGAGGUCCCGGGUUCAAAUCCCGGACGAGCCCGUCACAUGUGGAAGGAGUAGGAGGUCAUUGGCACAAACGGUUUCAACAGUCAGAUGCACAAGUGCAUGUCUCCCAAGUGCCUCUCUGUCAGUCCCACCCAACCAUCAAAUUGUCUGCAACUUAUAACAAUGCUGGCUGGCAAACUUUCCAGCGUCAAAAUCAUCUUCAACUUCAUGCCUUUUGUCCAAACGGAUAUUGGUCCAUUUUGUCCCCCUGCAAACCAGCCUCUGGUGGCUCGUUGGUCUAGGGGCAUGAUUCUUGCUUCGGGUGUGAGAGGUCCCGGCUUCAAAUCCCGGACGAGCCCCCACCUGUUGAAAUGGGACUUAAAUCUUUGUCUGUGUACAUUUAUCAUGUGGGGCACAAAAAUGAAGGCCUCUACAGGGUCUCCAUGAAAUAUGUUUCUCUGGAAAACACAAUCAUUUUCUGGCAAAUAUCUGUCCUGAUCAGCAUGCUGUGAGCAUCUUUUCAGGCAAAAAGCAGGACGAAUGCAUGAUCUUAGACCAGAUACGCAAAUUACGGACACAUUUCAUACAGUUGUAGCGUUGGAAGUGCAUAAUGAGCAGUUGAGCGCGCAAAAGUCUUUUGCGUUGAUUUAGAGGACUGAGGAGCUGUUUUCAUUCCACCCCCAGAGUUGCUCCAUCAUUUUCUCAGCCCAGAUUGUGGCUCGUUGGUCUAGGGGUAUGAUUCUCGCUUUGGGUGCGAGAGGUCCCAGAUUCAAAUCCCGGACGAGCCCACUCUGUUCACUUAAUACCCUGACAUCCACCAUGUCAAGAGGCCACAUACUUUAGACUGAGAUUUGAAAAUGCACAGUGUCAUGACCUAAUCCAAUGUUACAAGACAAACUUUGUAAAACAUCAUUCCUUGGAUUGGAAGAAAGGGUCAACCCACCUGGUGCUGAAAGAUGGACAAAACUCUCAGAAUUAAGCUAGUCAAAUGCCUGGACAAGGUACAGUGGCGUCAUGUUGCAAAGCAAAGGCACCUGCUUUCAAUAUGAGUAGAGCUGCAACCACUUCUCCCAGACGAUCGCUUCACACUUGUCGUAGCAUCAGAGUGCUAUUGUUUGUCUUGGCAUAUAUCCUAACGCUCCAAAUGAUCCCAGCCAAGGGGUCGUUAAAGUACGAUCCUCUCACAAAGGUCCAAGUGUGACGAUGCCAUGGAUGUGAUAGAGGACAUGUCUGGGUACCAAAAUGGGUCAAAUGUUGCUCUUGGCUUAAGCAACGGGCUCUUAGCCUGUAGCUGUGUGCAUCCACGUUGAGGAUUUAGUGCAGAUCCAAGCCUCCUUUUUCUCAUUUGCAGCUGUGUGUGAACCCUUUCAGUUUGCAUUUCAGUAAGCCAAGACUUUGAAAGUGAAAGCUAGGGGUCUGCGUGAGGAUUUUGGAUCAAACGGAACUGUGCUAGAGUUGUCUUUGUUGCGAGAGAUUGUGGCUCGUUGGUCUAGGGGUAUGAUUCUCGCUUAGGGUGCGAGAGGUCCCGGGUUCAAAUCCCGCACGAGCCCGUCACAUGUGGAAGGAGUAGGAGGUCAUUGGCACAAACGGUUUCAACAGUCAGAUGCACAAGUGCAUGUCUCCCAAGUGCCUCUCUGUCAGUCCCACCCAACCAUCAAAUUGUCUGCAACUUAUAACAAUGCUGGCUGGCAAACUUUCCAGCGUCAAAAUCAUCUUCAACUUCAUGCCUUUUGUCCAAACGGAUAUUGGUCCAUUUUGUCCCCCUGCAAACCAGCCUCUGGUGGCUCGUUGGUCUAGGGGCAUGAUUCUUGCUUCGGGUGUGAGAGGUCCCGGGUUCAAAUCCCGGACGAGCCCCCACCUGUUGAAAUGGGACUUAAAUCUUUGUCUGUGUACAUUUAUCAUGUGGGGCACAAAAAUGAAGGCCUCUACAGGGUCUCCAUGAAAUAUGUUUCUCUGGAAAACACAAUCAUUUUCUGGCAAAUAUCUGUCCUGAUCAGCAUGCUGUGAGCACCUUUUCAGGCAAAAAGCAGGACGAAUGCAUGAUCUUAGACCAGAUACGCAAAUUACGGACACAUUUCAUACAGUUGUAGCGUUGGAAGUGCGUAAUAAGCAGUUGAGCGCGCAAAAGUCUUUUGCGUUGAUUUAGAGGACUGAGGAGCUGUUUUCAUUCCACCCCCAGAGUUGCUCCAUCAUUUUCUCAGCCCAGAUUGUGGCUCGUUGGUCUAGGGGUAUGAUUCUCGCUUUGGGUGCGAGAGGUCCCGCGUUCAAAUCCCGGACGAGCCCACUCUGUUCACUUAAUACCCUGAUAUCCACCAUGUCAAGAGGCCACAUACUUUAGACUGAGAUUUGAAAAUGCACAGUGUCAUGACCUAAUCCAAUGUUACAAGACAAACUUUGUAAAACAUCAUUCCUUGGAUUGGAAGAAAGGGUCAACCCACCUGGUGCUGAAAGAUGGACAAAACUCUCAGAAUUAAGCUAGUCAAAUGCCUGGACAAGGUACAGUGGCGUCAUGUUGCAAAGCAAAGGCACCUGCUUUCAAUAUGAGUAGAGCUGCAACCACUUCUCCCAGACGAUCGCUUCACACUUGUCGUAGCAUCAGAGUGCUAUUGUUUGUCUUGGCAUAUAUCCUAACGCUCCAAAUGAUCCCAGCCAAGGGGUCGUUAAAGUACGAUCCUCUCACAAAGGUCCAAGUGUGACGAUGCCAUGGAUGUGAUAGAGGACAUGUCUGGGUACCAAAAUGGGUCAAAUGUUGCUCUUGGCUUAAGCAACGGGCUCUUAGCCUGUAGCUGUGUGCAUCCACGUUGAUGAUUUAGUGCAGAUCCAAGCCUCCUUUUUCUCAUUUGCAGCUGUGUGUGAACCCUUUCAGUUUGCAUUUCAGUAAGCCAAGACUUUGAAAGUGAAAGCUAGGGGUCUGCGUGAGGAUUUUGGAUCAAAUGGAACUCUGCUAGAGUUGUCUUUGUUGCGAGAGAGUGUGGCUCGUUGGUCUAGGGGUAUGAUUCUCGCUUAGGGUGCGAGAGGUCCCGGGUUCAAAUCCCGGACGAGCCCGUCACAUGUGGAAGGAGUAGGAGGUCAUUGGCACAAACGGUUUCAACAGUCAGAUGCACAAGUGCAUGUCUCCCAAGUGCCUCUCUGUCAGUCCCACCCAACCAUCAAAUUGUCUGCAACUUAUAACAAUGCUGGCUGGCAAACUUUGCAGUGUCAAAAUCAUCUUCAACUUCAUGCCUUUUGUCCAAACGGAUAUUGGUCCAUUUUGUCCCCCUGCAAACCAGCCUCUGGUGGCUCGUUGGUCUAGGGGCAUGAUUCUUGCUUCGGGUGUGAGAGGUCCCGGGUUCAAAUCCCGGACGAGCCCCCACCUGUUGAAAUGGGACUUAAAUCUUUGUCUGUGUACAUUUAUCAUGUGGGGCACAAAAAUGAAGGCCUCGACAGGGUCUCCAUGAAAUAUGUUUCUCUGGAAAACACAAUCAUUUUCUGGCAAAUAUCUGUCCUGAUCAGCAUGCUGUGAGCACCUUUUCAGGCAAAAAGCAGGACGAAUGCAUGAUCUUAGACCAGAUACGCAAAUUACGGACACAUUUCAUACAGUUGUAGCGUUGGAAGUGCAUAAUGAGCAGUUGAGUGCGCAAAAGUCUUUUGCGUUGAUUUAGAGGACUGAGGAGCUGUUUUCAUUCCACCCCCAGAGUUGCUCCAUCAUUUUCUCAGCCCAGAUUGUGGCUCGUUGGUCUAGGGGUAUGAUUCUCGCUUUGGGUGCGAGAGGUCCCGGGUUCAAAUCCCGGACGAGCCCACUCUGUUCACUUAAUACCCUGACAUCCACCAUGUCAAGAGGCCACAUACUUUAGACUGAGAUUUGAAAAUGCACAGUGUCAUGACCUAAUCCAAUGUUACAAGACAAACUUUGUAAAACAUCAUUCCUUGGAUUGGAAGAAAGGGUCAACCCACCUGGUGCUGAAAGAUGGACAAAACUCUCAGAAUUAAGCUAGUCAAAUGCCUGGACAAGGUACAGUGGCGUCAUGUUGCAAAGCAAAGGCACCUGCUUUCAAUAUGAGUAGAGCUGCAACCACUUCUCCCAGACGAUCGCUUCACACUUGUCGUAGCAUCAGAGUGCUAUUGUUUGUCUUGGCAUAUAUCCUAACGCUCCAAAUGAUCCCAGCCAAGGGGUCGUUAAAGUACGAUCCUCUCACAAAGGUCCAAGUGUGACGAUGCCAUGGAUGUGAUAGAGGACAUGUCUGGGUACCAAAAUGGGUCAAAUGUUGCUCUUGGCUUAAGCAACGGGCUCUUAGCCUGUAGCUGUGUGCAUCCACGUUGAGGAUUUAGUGCAGAUCCAAGCCUCCUUUUUCUCAUUUGCAGCUGUGUGUGAACCCUUUCAGUUUGCAUUUCAGUAAGCCAAGACUUUGAAAGUGAAAGCUAGGGGUCUGCGUGAGGAUUUUGGAUCAAAUGGAACUGUGCUAGAGUUGUCUUUGUUGCGAGAGAGUGUGGCUCGUUGGUCUAGGGGUAUGAUUCUCGCUUCGGGUGCGAGAGGUCCCGGGUUCAAAUCCCGGACGAGCCCGUCACAUGUGGAAGGAGUAGGAGGUCAUUGGCACAAACGGUUUCAACAGUCAGAUGCACAAGUGCAUGUCUCCCAAGUGCCUCUCUGUCAGUCCCACCCAACCAUCAAAUUGUCUGCAACUUAUAACAAUGCUGGCUGGCAAACUUUCCAGCGUCAAAAUCAUCUUCAACUUCAUGCCUUUUGUCCAAACGGAUAUUGGUCCAUUUUGUUCCCCUGCAAACCAGCCUCUGGUGGCUCGUUGGUCUAGGGGCAUGAUUCUUGCUUCGGGUGUGAGAGGUCCCGGGUUCAAAUCCCGGACGAGCCCCCACCUGUUGAAAUGGGACUUAAAUCUUUGUCUGUGUACAUUUAUCAUGUGGGGCACAAAAAUGAAGGCCUCGACAGGGUCUCCAUGAAAUAUGUUUCUCUGGAAAACACAAUCAUUUUCUGGCAAAUAUCUGUCCUGAUCAGCAUGCUGUGAGCACCUUUUCAGGCAAAAAGCAGGACGAAUGCAUGAUCUUAGACCAGAUACGCAAAUUACGGACACAUUUCAUACAGUUGUAGCGUUGGAAGUGCAUAAUGAGCAGUUGAGCGCGCAAAAGUCUUUUGCGUUGAUUUAGAGGACUGAGGAGCUGUUUUCAUUCCACCCCCAGAGUUGCUCCAUCAUUUUCUCAGCCCAGAUUGUGGCUCGUUGGUCUAGGGGUAUGAUUCUUGCUUUGGGUGCAAGAGGUCUCGGGUUCAAAUCCCGGACGAGCCCACUCUGUUCACUUAAUACCCUGACAUCCACCAUGUCAAGAGGCCACAUACUUUAGACUGAGAUUUGAAAAUGCACAGUGUCAUGACCUAAUCCAAUGUUACAAGACAAACUUUGUAAAACAUCAUUCCUUGGAUUGGAAGAAAGGGUCAACCCACCUGGUGCUGAAAGAUGGACAAAACUCUCAGAAUUAAGCUAGUCAAAUGCCUGGACAAGGUACAGUGGCGUCAUGUUGCAAAGCAAAGGCACCUGCUUUCAAUAUGAGUAGAGCUGCAACCACUUCUCCCAGACGAUCGCUUCACACUUGUCGUAGCAUCAGAGUGCUAUUGUUUGUCUUGGCAUAUAUCCUAACGCUCCAAAUGAUCCCAGCCAAGGGGUCGUUAAAGUACGAUCCUCUCACAAAGGUCCAAGUGUGACGAUGCCAUGGAUGUGAUAGAGGACAUGUCUGGGUACCAAAAUGGGUCAAAUGUUGCUCUUGGCUUAAGCAACGGGCUCUUAGCCUGUAGCUGUGUGCAUCCACGUUGAUGAUUUAGUGCAGAUCCAAGCCUCCUUUUUCUCAUUUGCAGCUGUGUGUGAACCCUUUCAGUUUGCAUUUCAGUAAGCCAAGACUUUGAAAGUGAAAGCUAGGGGUCUGCGUGAGGAUUUUGGAUCAAACGGAACUGUGCUAGAGUUGUCUUUGUUGCGAGAGACUGUGGCUCGUUGGUCUAGGGGUAUGAUUCUCGCUUAGGGUGCGAGAGGUCCCGGGUUCAAAUCCCGGACGAGCCCGUCACAUGUGGAAGGAGUAGGAGGUCAUUGGCACAAACGGUUUCAACAGUCAGAUGCACAAGUGCAUGUCUCCCAAGUGCCUCUCUGUCAGUCCCACCCAACCAUCAAAUUGUCUGCAACUUAUAACAAUGCUGGCUGGCAAACUUUCCAGCGUCAAAAUCAUCUUCAACUUCAUGCCUUUUGUCCAAACGGAUAUUGGUCCAUUUUGUUCCCCUGCAAACCAGCCUCUGGUGGCUCGUUGGUCUAGGGGCAUGAUUCUUGCUUCGGGUGUGAGAGGUCCCGGGUUCAAAUCCCGGACGAGCCCCCACCUGUUGAAAUGGGACUUAAAUCUUUGUCUGUGUACAUUUAUCAUGUGGGGCACAAAAAUGAAGGCCUCUACAGGGUCUCCAUGAAAUAUGUUUCUCUGGAAAACACAAUCAUUUUCUGGCAAAUAUCUGUCCUGAUCAGCAUGCUGUGAGCACCUUUUCAGGCAAAAAGCAGGACGAAUGCAUGAUCUUAGACCAGAUACGCAAAUUACGGACACAUUUCAUACAGUUGUAGCGUUGGAAGUGCAUAAUGAGCAGUUGAGCGCGCAAAAGUCUUUUGCGUUGAUUUAGAGGACUGAGGAGCUGUUUUCAUUCCACCCCCAGAGUUGCUCCAUCAUUUUCUCAGCCCAGAUUGUGGCUCGUUGGUCUAGGGGUAUGAUUCUCGCUUUGGGUGCGAGAGGUCCCGGGUUCAAAACCCGGACGAGCCCACUCUGUUCACUUAAUACCCUGACAUCCACCAUGUCAAGAGGCCACAUACUUUAGACUGAGAUUUGAAAAUGCACAGUGCCAUGACCUAAUCCAAUGUUACAAGACAAACUUUGUAAAACAUCAUUCCUUGGAUUGGAAGAAAGGGUCAACCCACCUGGUGCUGAAAGAUGGACAAAACUCUCAGAAUUAAGCUAGUCAAAUGCCUGGACAAGGUACAGUGGCGUCAUGUUGCAAAGCAAAGGCACCUGCUUUCAAUAUGAGUAGAGCUGCAACCACUUCUCCCAGACGAUCGCUUCACACUUGUCGUAGCAUCAGAGUGCUAUUGUUUGUCUUGGCAUAUAUCCUAACGCUCCAAAUGAUCCCAGCCAAGGGGUCGUUAAAGUACGAUCCUCUCACAAAGGUCCAAGUGUGACGAUGCCAUGGAUGUGAUAGAGGACAUGUCUGGGUACCAAAAUGGGUCAAAUGUUGCUCUUGGCUUAAGCAACGGGCUCUUAGCCUGUAGCUGUGUGCAUCCACGUUGAUGAUUUAGUGCAGAUCCAAGCCUCCUUUUUCUCAUUUGCAGCUGUGUGUGAACCCUUUCAGUUUGCAUUUCAGUAAGCCAAGACUUUGAAAGUGAAAGCUAGGGGUCUGCGUGAGGAUUUUGGAUCAAACAGAACUGUGCUAGAGUUGUCUUUAUUGCAAGAGAGUGUGGCUCGUUGGUCUAGGGGUAUGAUUCUCGCUUAGGGUGCGAGAGGUCCCGGGUUCAAAUCCCGGACGAGCCCGUCACAUGUGGAAGGAGUAGGAGGUCAUUGGCACAAACGGUUUCAACAGUCAGAUGCACAAGUGCAUGUCUCCCAAGUGCCUCUCUGUCAGUCCCACCCAACCAUCAAAUUGUCUGCAACUUAUAACAAUGCUGGCUGGCAAACUUUCCAGCGUCAAAAUCAUCUUCAACUUCAUGCCUUUUGUCCAAACGGAUAUUGGUCCAUUUUGUCCCCCUGCAAACCAGCCUCUGGUGGCUCGUUGGUCUAGGGGCAUGAUUCUUGCUUCGGGUGUGAGAGGUCCCGGGUUCAAAUCCCGGACGAGCCCCCACCUGUUGAAAUGGGACUUAAAUCUUUGUCUGUGUACAUUUAUCAUGUGGGGCACAAAAAUGAAGGCCUCUACAGGGUCUCCAUGAAAUAUGUUUCUCUGGAAAACACAAUCAUUUUCUGGCAAAUAUCUGUCCUGAUCAGCAUGCUGUGAGCACCUUUUCAGGCAAAAAGCAGGACGAAUGCAUGAUCUUAGACCAGAUACGCAAAUUACGGACACAUUUCAUACAGUUGUAGCGUUGGAAGUGCAUAAUGAGCAGUUGAGCGCGCAAAAGUCUUUUGCGUUGAUUUAGAGGACUGAGGAGCUGUUUUCAUUCCACCCCCAGAGUUGCUCCAUCAUUUUCUCAGCCCAGAUUGUGGCUCGUUGGUCUAGGGGUAUGAUUCUCGCUUUGGUUGCGAGAGGUCCCGGGUUCAAAUCCCGGACGAGCCCACUCUGUUCACUUAAUACCCUGACAUCCACCAUGUCAAGAGGCUACAUACUUUAGACUGAGAUUUGAAAAUGCACAGUGUCAUGACCUAAUCCAAUGUUACAAGACAAACUUUGUAAAACAUCAUUCCUUGGAUUGGAAGAAAGGGUCAACCCACCUGGUGCUGAAAGAUGGACAAAACUCUCAGAAUUAAGCUAGUCAAAUGCCUGGACAAGGUACAGUGGCGUCAUGUUGCAAAGCAAAGGCACCUGCUUUCAAUAUGAGUAGAGCUGCAACCACUUCUCCCAGACGAUCGCUUCACACUUGUCGUAGCAUCAGAGUGCUAUUGUUUGUCUUGGCAUAUAUCCUAACGCUCCAAAUGAUCCCAGCCAAGGGGUCGUUAAAGUACGAUCCUCUCACAAAGGUCCAAGU